CCUGAGAAACCCGAAAGAUCGAAUGGGGAGACUCAACGUUCAGCGAUCCUGACGCUCGCGCGGCUCGCGAUGUCUCGGGACCACGGUUCCUUGGCACGCGUCCGCGUGGUCAUUCGUCGGGUGUCGCCGGCGUGCACUUCUCCCCUAGUAGGACGUCGCGACCCGUUGGGUGUCGGUCUACGGCCCGGGUGGGCGCCUGUCGUGUGUCACGCUUCGCGGCGUCACGCGUCAGACCCCCGGUAGCCCGACCAGCUGCCCGGCGGUACUCGCACGGUAUCGAGCCGCAAACAUUUGAACUGCGUCCGGCCCCUCGCAAGCGAGGCCAGCGAACCCGCGUGCACGGACCAAGCGCCGUCACCGGACGUGGCCUGCUGUUGGCCGGGGGUGUCCUGGGACAGGCUCUCGUAUUAUGAUACCGGUCGGCGACGCUACUGCUUUGGGUACUUUCAGGACCCGUCUUGAAACACGGACCAAGGAGUCUAACAUGUGCGCGAGUCAUUGGGAAGAAACUAAGCCUAAAGGCGCAAUGAAAGUGAAGGUCGGCACCGCGCCGACCGAGGGAGGAUGGGCCGCGUNGCGACGCGGCUCCGCACUCCCGGGGCGUCUCGUUCUCAUUGCGAGAAGAGGCGCACCCAGAGCGUACACGUUGGGACC
rnacentral:rRNA from 1 species